rnacentral:rRNA from 1 species
CAGUAGCCGCGGUAAUACGUAGGGUGCAAGCGUUAAUCGGAAUUACUGGGCGUAAAGCGUGCGCAGGCGGUUAUAUAUGACAGAUGUGAAAUCCCCGGGCUCAACCUGGGAACUGCAUUUGUGACUGUAUAGCUAGAGUACGGCAGAGGGGGAUGGAAUUCCGCGUGUAGCAGUGAAAUGCGUAGAUAUGCGGAAGAACACCGAUGGCGAAGGCAAUCCCCUGGGCCUGUACUGACGCUCAUGCACGAAAGCGUGGGGAGCAAACAGGAUUAGAUACCCCCGUAGUCCCUGUCUCUUAUAC